GAAAUGCGAUAAGUAAUGUGAAUUGCAGAAUUCAGUGAAUCAUCGAAUCUUUGAACGCACAUUGCGCCCGCCAGUAUUCUGGCGGGUAUGCCUGUUCGAGCGUCAUUUCAACCAUCAAGCCCCGGGCUUGUGUUGGGGACCUGCGGCUGCCGCAGGCCCUGAAAACCAGUGGCGGGCUCGCUGUCACACCGAGCGUAGUAGAUUCUCAUCUCGCUCAGGGCGUGCUGCGGGUUCCGGCCGUAAAACAGCCUUAUUUUACCCAAGGUUGACCUCGGAUCAGGUAGGAAGACCCGCUGAACUUAAGC
rnacentral:misc_RNA from 1 species